UCGAGGAUCUCAUUUUCGCUCGUGAUUAUGGUUUUUUUUUUCCUCGGGUGGAUAUGUUUGUCACUAUUUCUUUCUUGGGGAAGUGAAAAGUUUCACUUUCUCUAUGUGUCUUCAUAGGUGUUCCUCAGACUGACGAUAUGAAGGGAAAAAUACUUCUGGUCCUUUUGUUAUUCUGGCCAGGUGUGUGCCCACUGAGUUUCCAGGAAGUACAUGUCAAGUCAGGUGAGAUGGCGGUACUGCAGUGCCCUUCUUACAGAGGGUACAGUGAUGGAGAUGCUGAGGUGUUCUGGACCAGUCACACCGUGGAUGAAAUGAAACUCUUCAACAUGUCAACAUCAGCUGAGCAGAGGCAGAUGGGUGUGCUGGUUCAUGGAAGAAUCCUUGUCAUUCUCAGAGCUUCAGUAAACCAUCAGGAGAAUUACUCCUGCUCUUUUCGUAAUUCCAGCAGGCGUUCCUGGAUCAACCUCAGAGUAUACACAGUGGAGUCCAAAGAGUCUGGAAAAAUGAUCCAGGACUCUAAAACAUGUUACACAGAUAAGUCCUGCACUUUAUAUUGCCAUGAUGAAAAUAUUCUCUUUGAUACCUGGAAUAUCACCAGAAACAGCACUACAUGUCACAAGGAGGGCGAGCCAUCUCCAAAAGACGGCUACUUCUCUAGUGUGAAAAAAGAGGACAGUGGCAUCUAUACCUGCACCUGGUCUUACCUGUAUGAUGGUCAAAUAUAUAACAUGACCUCUAUGGUGAAACUUGAUGUCCAACCAAGCAAAAUAACUAAGAAAGCAGUGAUAAUUUCACCAGAGAACAGCCAAGAAUUUGAUGUAGAUUUAGAUUCAACAGUGGUGAUUGAUUGUAAAGCAGUAACGUCCUCGGACACUGAUGACUUGUUCUGGUUAAGCGGCGAUUCAUUUGUGGAGACAAAUAGCACUCUGCCCGUUUUCUAUAAUUAUACAUGGGUCAACAGCACAGAGGAAAUCAGCAUGACAGCAUCUCUAGUCUUCAGACAAGUGUCAGAGGAGGAUCUGUCAAACAAUUAUACCUGUAAACUGCAAUCUGACUAUGAAACAAGCUUUGUCACCAUCACCCUAAAACAAAACGAAACUUUUAUACCACCAAUGAUCAUUUCACCAAAGAAAAACCAAGAAUUUGAUGUAGAUUUAGACUCUACAGUGGUGAUUGAUUGUAAAGCAGUAACGUCCUCGGACACUGAUGACUUGUUCUGGUUAAGCGGCGAUUCAUUUGUGGAGACAAAUAGCACUCUGCCCGUUUUCUAUAAUUAUACAUGGGUCAACAGCACAGAGGAAAUCAGCAUGACAGCAUCUCUAGUCUUCAGACAAGUGUCAGAGGAGGAUCUGUCAAACAAUUAUACCUGUAAACUGCAAUCUGACUAUGAAACAAGCUUUGUCACCAUCACCCUAAAACAAAACGAACCGUUUAUACCGCCAGUGAUCAUUUUACCAAAGAACAACCAAGAAUUUGAGGUAGAUUUAGACUCUACAGUGGUGAUUGAUUGUAAAGCAGUCACAUCUUCAGACAUUGAUGACUUGUUCUGGUUAAGCGGCGAUUCAUUUGUGGAGACAAAUAGCACUCUGCCCGUUUUCUAUAAUUAUACAUGGGUCAACAGCACAGAGGAAAUCAAUAUGACAGCAUCUCUAGUCUUCAGACAAGUGUCAGAGGAGGAUCUGUCAAACAAUUAUACCUGUAAACUGCAAUCUGACUACCAAACAAGCUUUGUCACCAUCACCUUAAAGCAAAAAGCUGUUUCACAUCUCGCCAUGGGUUUAUGCAUUUUUCUCGCUGUGUUGAUGGUAUUACCAGUAGCUAUUUAUACUAUGUUUAACAUCAUUCUUUGGCUGCAAAAAAAUCUUGGCUUCUACCACAGAGCCCCAGGGAAACUCCAUCGUUUGAAGAUUCGCUUCUAAACAGAAACAGCAGGAGGCCUUGAGUACAGGUUCAUCACCAGGGGCCUCACAGCUCUGCGAGGUUGUGUCACCUGAAAUGGCUCCAUGUUGCACUCCUCCUCCUUCUGAAAGAAGCUUCGCCAUUACCUGCCCGUCCCACAGA